CCACUGAGAGAUUCAGCCUUUCUUUUUCAGCUGGGUGGAACUAUUGGAGACAUUGAAGGAAUGCCAUUUGUUGAAGCAUUUAGACAGUUUCAGUUCAAAGCAAAAAGAGAGAACUUCUGUAACAUCCAUGUCAGUCUAGUACCACAGCCUAAUGCCACCGGUGAACAGAAGACAAAACCAACACAGAACAGUGUUCGAGCACUGAGGGGUCUAGGCUUGUCUCCAGAUUUGGUGAGUUCAUUAGUCAAUAAAUGCAGAGUUUUGGUUAUGGGUCAUCUAGAAGUAUCUAUGAAUAACCAGUG